rnacentral:rRNA from 1 species
GACAGAGGGUGCAAACGUUGCUCGGAUUUACUGGGCGUAAAGCGCAUGUAGGCGGGCGAUUAAGUCGGGUGUGAAAUCCCUGGGCUCAACCUAGGAACUGCAUCCGAAACUGAUCACCUAGAGUAGUGGAGAGGAAAGCGGAAUUCCCGGUGUAGAGGUGAAAUUCGUAGAUAUCGGGAGGAACACCAGUGGCGAAGGCGGCUUUCUGGACACUAACUGACGCUGAGAUGCGAAAGCGUGGGGAGCAAACAGG